GACGAACGCUGGCGGCGUGCCUAAUACAUGCAAGUAGAACGCUGAAGUAGGAGCUUGCUUCUCUGGAUGAGUUGCGAACGGGUGAGUAACGCGUAUGUAACCUGCCUGGUAGCGGGGGAUAACUAUUGGAAACGAUAGCUAAUACCGCAUAAGAGUAGAUGUUGCAUGACAUUUGCUUAAAAGGUGCAAUUGCAUCACUACCAGAUGGACCUUCGUUGUAUUAUCUAGUUGGUGGGGUAACGGCUCACCAAGGCGACGAUACAUAGCGGACUAGCGGGGGGGUCGGCCACAAUGGGACUGAGGAACGGCCCAGACUCCGAAGGGAGGCAGCAGGAGGGAAUCUUCGGCAAUGGACGGAAAUCUGAACGGGGAAAGCCGGGGGGGGGAAGAAGGUUUUCGGGUCGUAAAGAUCGGUUUAAAGGGGAGAACGAGUGUGGGAGUGGAAAGUGCACGUUGUGACGGUACCUUACCAGAAAGGGACGGCUAACUACGUG
rnacentral:rRNA from 1 species